UGGGAAGUGGCUCAGUGGUAGAGUGCUUGCCUUGCAUGCAUGAGGCCCUGGGUUCGAUUCCUCAGCACCAUAA
rfam:Dipodomys ordii contig_72098, whole genome shotgun sequence.